AACGAACGCUGGCGGCAGGCUUAACACAUGCAAGUCGAACGGUAACAGGCCUAGCUUGCUAGGUGCUGACGAGUGGCGGACGGGUGAGUAACGCGUAGGAAUCUACCUUGUAGAGGGGAAUAACUUGGGGAAACUCAAGCUAAUACCGCAUACGCCCUAAGGGGAAAGCAGGGGACCGAAAGGCCUUGUGCCAUGAGAUGAGCCUGCGUCAGAUUAGCUAGUUGGUGGGUAAAGGCCUACCAAGGCGACGAUCUGUAGCUGGUUUGAGAGAACGACCAGCCACACUGGAACUGAGACACGGUCCAGACUCCUACGGGAGGCAGCAGUGGGGAAUUUUGGACAAUGGGGGGCAACCCUGAUCCAGCAAUGCCGCGUGAGUGAAGAAGGCCUCGGGUUGUAAAGCUCUUUGUUCAGGGAAGAAACGGUAGAGUUCUAAUAAGACUUGCUAAUGACGGUACCUGAAGAAUAAGACACCGGCUAACUACGUGCCA
rnacentral:rRNA from 1 species